UGAAGUAAGUAAGGGCGUACGGUGAAUGCCUUGGUGCCAACAGGCGAAGAAGGACGCGGCAAGCUGCGAAAAGCCUCGGGAAGCUGCAAGCAAGCGAUGAUCCGGGGAUAUCCGAAUGGGGUAACCUGAUCGAGGCAAUACUCGAUCGUUCAUACCUGAAUACAUAGGGUAUGAAACGUGAAACCCGCUGAAGUGAAACAUCUCAGUAAGCGGAGGAAAAGAAAGAGAAAUCGAUUCCGUAAGUAGUGGCGAGCGAAAGCGGAUGGAGCCCAAACCGAAGGUAUUCCUUCGGGGUUGUAGGACCACGUCAUAUUCGACCAUACUGGAUAGUAGAACAGCCUGGAAAGGCUGGCCGGAGAAGGUGAAAGCCCUGUAGACGAAAUCCAGAGUGGGAAUUAGUGGUAUCCUGAGUAAUACAUCACACGUGGAACGAUGUAUGAACCCGCGCGGACCACCGCGCAAGGCUAAAUACUAGUUGGCGACCGAUAGUGAACAAGUACCGCGAGGGAAAGGUGAAAAGAACCGCUGUGAGCGGAGUGAAAUAGAACCUGAAACCGUAUGUCUACAAAGUGUCAGAGCAGAGCAAUCUGCGAUGGCGUGCCUUUUGUUUAAUGAGUCUGCGAGUCAGUGUUUGUGGCAAGACUAAGGGCUUCCGGCCCGGAGUCGCAGCGAAAGCAAGUCCGAACAGGGCGCAAUAAGUCGCAGGUACUGGACCCGAAGCGGAGGUGACCUACCCUUGGCCAGGUUGAAGCAUGGGUAAAACCAUGUGGAGGACCGAACAGGUGAACGUUGAAAAGUUCUCUGAUGAGCUGAGGGUAGGAGUGAAAGGCUAAUCAAACCCCGUGAUAGCUGGUUCUCUUCGAAAUGCAUUUAGGUGCAGCGUCACGUGCUGAUGCGCGGGGGUAGAGCACUGACAAGGCUAGGGGGCACACCCGCUUACCAAACCUUAUCAAACUCCGAAUACCGUGCAAUGGAACGUGGCAGUGAGACAGUGGGGGAUAAGCUUCAUUGUCGAGAGGGAAACAACCCAGACCAGCAGCUAAGGUGCCUAAAUAACGCUCAGUGGAAAGGAUGUGGGAUUACACAGACAGUGAGGAUGUUGGCUUAGAAGCAGCCACCAUUUAAAAAAUGCGUAAUAGCUUACUCAUCGAGUGAUCCUGCGCCGAAAAUGAUUGGCGAUCAAGCGUUAUACCGAAGCUCUGGACUUUGCCGCAAGGCAGAGUGGUAGAAGAGCGUUGCAUGCGCGUCGAAGGGCGAUGGCGACUGACCCUGGAGCACAUGCAAGUGAGUAUGCAGACAUGAGUAACGUUAAGCCGGGUGAAAUCCCCGGCCGCCGUAAACCCGAGGUUUCCAGGGCAACGUGUUUCGUCCCUGGGUUAGCCGGGACCUAAGCCGAGGCCGAGAGGCGUAGGCGAUGGACAUCAGGUUAAUAAUCCUGAGCUCGCAACCCUUAAACUGGGGGGACGCAUGAGAAAAGAUGACUAGGUUAUUGAAUUCCGAGUUGAGUCCACGGACUCAGCGCAUCAUUGGAUCGAGUGCCAAGAAAAGCCCCAGCGUAUGCUAAGCGACCCGUACCGCAAACCGACACAGGUGGGUGGGUAGAAUAUACCAAGGCGUAAGAGUGAAACCUGGUUAAGGAACUCGGCAAAUUAGCCCCGUAACUUCGGAAGAAGGGGUGCCUGCAGCGAUGCAGGCCGCAGAGAAAUGGCCCAACCGACUGUUUAUCAAAAACACAGCACUCUGCAAAGACGCAAGUCGAAGUAUAGGGUGUGACACGUGACCAAUGCCGAAAGAUUAAGGCAAGGGGUUAGCCGCAAGGCGAAGCUCUAAACCCAAGUCCCGGUGAAUGUCGGCCGUAACUAUAACGGUCCUAAGGUAGCGAAAUUCCUUGUCGGGUAAGUUCC
rnacentral:rRNA from 2 species